AACACAAGGAGAGAGACACAGAAACUGUGGCCGGAAACUGGAAAAACACUGGAGCAAAAACAGAUUCCUGAUUGGGAGAUUAUUCACUGUGAAUGGACCAAAGGUGUGAAUGAAAAAGUAAAUGUGAGUUAUUAUGUUUUUUGUUUGAAAGAUGUGAUGGGGACUGAAAAUAUGUGUCUGUACAUGAUAGGGUGUACACAAUAAGAGAUAACGUUUUAAUUCAUGGUAGAACUGAAAAAAUGACCAAAUGCAGAGCAGUCAGAUGAGAAUAGUCACUGGAUGAGCGGUAGAAGAUGAUUAAUGACCGCGAAGAAGUAGUAAACUAUUUGACAGUUUAUCUGAGAGGCACUAUGUAAAAACUUACGCCGGUACAGUAGAGGGCGCUAAAGGCACGAAGUGGCGCGAGAAGCGGAUGUGAUUGACAGGUGCUGUAGAAGCGGUCGUCGCGGGCUAAUUGAAGUGGCGUGAGUUCCCCGGGAGACGCCGGAAAAAUGUUGCAGCCCGGUGUGAAGACUGAAAGGCGGCUGGAGCUGUUCAUUACCGAGGUGAAAAGUUCGACUAAGCAGGAGGCAGCAGUGGACCGGCAGCUCCUGUGUCACUAGGCUUAAUUUAGUCAUUUUUGUCGGACUCUACCUGAGGUGAAGUCUGGAGCUCUCUUCUCACAGUUUGUACCAUAGGUUCCAGUCUGACAAGCACACUUGC